rnacentral:lncRNA from 1 species
UUAUUUUGCUCGAGGACUAGCAAAAUAUAGGUUUGGGGGUGUGAUAAGUGCUUAAUAAUUUAUAAUUUAGUUACCUUUCCAUAGCACUUAUCAAUAUUUUUAAACUGAUAAAUACAUAUUUUACCAUGAAAUUGAACAAACAUUGAAGUAAGUUUAAAAUAUGGUAAUUAUUCUCUUAAACUAGAUUCUGAACUUGUCUCUCUCUUGGUUGCAAUCUUUCAUGAAAACUACAAAAAAAUAUAUAAGAUUGUGUUGACCCGACUAAGGUUAUAACUAAAUGGGCUUUGGUCCUGAUUUGAUUGAAAGUUAUAAUUGUAUAGGAAAAU